GUUAAGUAUCUGCUGGAGGGUUUGAUGGUCAAAAAGUAUGUGUGCUGUUGAGGCUGUAGGAUGGGAGUCCUCUGAAGCCUGCCUGUUUGUAAUGGGUUCAUGAGGCAACUCAUUGAAUAGGAGUGGGAGUUUUCUGUGGAGGAAGUUGACUGAUGGAAGAGUGACCUGUCUGUAACUAGAGAUGCUCCAUUCUCCCUUCUUCUCUCAUAAAUGGCACUGGGUUUGCAUCACUGAUCACCACUAUCCUGUUUGUCCGUCCUCUAUUGGGUGUUGGUUUUCUGAGGAGGAUGUGGGCAUCCUAGUUACCGAUGGGCCCCUGUCAGUGUUGGGAAAGGGCCAUGAGUACUGUGUAAAUGUGAGUAUUUUGCAUGUUGAUUUUAAAUGUAUAGAAGUAGUUGGUUGCUGCUUCAUUGUAGGUAGGAAUGUGCUGGGGCUCUUUCGGGGUGUCAAAUAGGUUAGUUUAGCCAAGGGAGUGUGGUAUUGUGGUGUUGUGACCAUUAGCAAUAACCUGGCAUUUAUUGUUUGUGUGCCACAGGGGUAUUUGAGUCCAGAACUGAGGGAAUGGGCUGUAGCAAGUGUGCCCUGUUUGGUUUACAUGGGUUCUUGUAAGUAUGGUGCCAGUGGGCACAGAGGAGCUGUUUGCAUCCAUGAGAUCCUUAAGAGGCUUCAAGAGGUGCAGUUUGUGAAAGAAGGAUAGAUGUGAGGCCCCAUCUGGUGGAAAAAGAAUUUUGUCUGAAGAUGGGGGUCCAGUUGGGCAAAGAACAAGUGAAGUAGACGUAUGCCUGUAGGGGACAUGAAGUACUUAUUCUCAAAAUGGAAGUGGAUUUGAUGUCACGUUUGCAAGUUAAGAAUCCACUUUCCGACCACAGAGAUGGAAAUAUCAGCAUCUCCGGAGAAGACUUUGCUCCAAACAACGCACACCAAUCGGGCUUUGAUAUUGUAUUAUUUGGGUCAAGAUGUGAAGUGUUGUCUGUUUGAUGGCUAGAAUGUAGUAGAGCAGUGGGGCUGAUGUCACUGUGUUCUGGUAGAUACCUGAGCAAUUAUAUCAUGAAAUGCCAUUAUUGUCAUUUCUGUGAUUCGAAUUGGAGAGGGUGGGUUCAUUUGUUUGGUCAGUUACAGGAACAUCACCACAUAAGUACUUGCACAAAAUGCAAUUGUUUUCCGAAAUGAAUGGUUUGUUUGCCACUUGGAAUGUUCUAGCCAUCAAAGUUGCAAGAGGACACAGUUUGGGAUGCCCCAAGAA